rnacentral:rRNA from 1 species
ACGAAGGGAGCUAGCGUUGUUCGGAAUCACUGGGCGUAAAGCGCACGUAGGCGGAUGUGUCAGUCAGGGGUGAAAUCCCGGAGCUCAACUUCGGAACUGCCCUUGAUACAGCACAUCUGGAGUCCGGAAGAGGUGGGUGGAAUUCCUAGUGUAGAGGUGAAAUUCGUAGAUAUUAGGAAGAACACCGGUGGCGAAGGCGGCCCACUGGUCCGGUACUGACGCUGAGGUGCGAAAGCGUGGGGAGCAAACAGGA